UAGCAGCAAUUUAGCCACAUAAAUUUGAAGAAAACAGGAUGUCCUUCAAAAAAAAAACCACAACAACACACACACACACACACACACACAUAUAUAUAUAUAAAUAUAUAUAUAUGUAUCUCCCAAGCCCCAAAUGGAUUACCUAUGCAAAGGUUUUGAUGCUAUGGAGCAGCUGCACAUCGUUGGUUUGGGUCUGCUGUGAACAGUGAUCAAGGUCAUUAGGAAUCAUGGUGGGGCAUGAAAUCAUCCCUUAUUACCAGCUGAUCAUAGUGGUGGUACUUUCAGCAUAAAGUUGUUUAAAACCUUGCAAACUUUUCCUCACAAAUGUGACUACAUUCUUGAGUGUUUUAUGUGUUGCAUGAGAAAGAAUUUGGGCAGAGUAAAGCACUCCCCAUUUCCAAUAAAUAAUUACAAAGGGUUUGCCAAAACAGCAGUCCCCUGAUAGGUUAUAACACUGCUUGGUGUAAUGUGCUCCCCAUGCAUUUCAUCAUGGACAUGAAAUCUGGACCAAUUAUCAUUUUCUCAUACUGUAGCUUUUAAAGUAUUUUUAUUUUCUUUGUUACUGUCUAGUUCAUUAAACAGGGCUUGCAAGUUCCCAGUAACAGGAUUACUAUUGACAAUUUCAUUAGAACUAUAAUUCCACCGCUUGUGCGCCUUCCAGGGAGAACCAUCGCAGACCACAGCCACAGCCCGUCCACCUUUGCUAUAAUUGUGUUUGCAGCUGCCUACGGCUCUUCCCCGUUGAAUUUGGAAGGGCCAAAACUGCCAGUUUUUGUAAAACGGGUUUUAUCUGUGUAUUACACGAGCCCAGUUAGUUCCUGGUGAAUUAUGGAACUGUCAGCUGCGGUCUGACCCUAUGCAUGUUGGGAAAGAUGCUUAAUGUACAGGUGCAGUAAGUUUGUAAUUGCAAUUUAUAUAUAGCAGUGCAAUGCCUGGCCUGGCAGGUAAAUACCAGCAAACAGCACAGCUUGAAUGGGAGCUGUAAAUGUGCAAGUAGCAGGAAUAGCAGUGGAAAACCAGAAAAGACAAAAUCCUCCUCCUCUGCUCCCAGAGUCUUCCCUCUGUGUCGACUUGUGCGUUCUCUGAGAUGGAUACUCUUUCAAGCUGGAAGUGGAAAUAGCAACCAGAGCGAUAAACUUUUCUUUAAGUUUCCUUCAGUUGGUUUGAGGAGGUCUGUCUGGCGUGCCUACCCACGGGCAGGGAGACACUGCUGUCCAGCCAGAGCUGAACAACCUGUGUGGAGAAUACAAAGGCUUUCUUAUGCUGGCAAAUGGGUGCUUUCUUCCCAACUCCCCCCGAGGCGAAUCGUGGAAGAUGUAGCGCAGAUAGACAUGAAAACUGCAGACCUUCUUAGCAAGUACUUCUCUUAUAGAGAAGAAAUGAAAAAUACUCCUUCCAUGGCCAGAGCCUGGGGAAGGACAAAAUAG
ensembl:lncRNA